AGCAGCCGCGGUAAUUCCAGCUCCAAUAGCGUAUAUUAAAGUUGUUGCAGUUAAAAAGCUCGUAGUUGAAUUUCGAGAUCAAUUUGUUGGUCGUGCCUCGGUACGUACUGGCAAUUUUGAUUUCUCCCUUCUGAAGAACCAUGAUGUCAUUAAUUUGGUGUCAUGGGGAAUCAGGACCGUUACUUUGAAAAAAUUAGAGUGUUUAAAGCAGGCUCGCGCUUGAAUACAUUAGCAUGGAAUAAUGAAAUAGGACGUUUGAUUCUAUUUUGUUGGUUUCUAGGAUCGACGUAAUGAUUAAUAGGGAUAGUUGGGGGCAUUAGUAUUCAAUUGUCAGAGGUGAAAUUCUUGGAUUUAUUGAAGACUAACUACUGCGAAAGCAUUUGCCAAGGAUGUUUUCAUUAAUCAAGAACGAAAGUUAGGGGAUCGAAGACGAUCAGAUACCGUCGUAGUCUUAACCAUAAACUAUGCCGACUAGGGAUCGGAUGAUGUUAAU
rnacentral:rRNA from 1 species